rnacentral:rRNA from 1 species
AACUUCUGAAUGUUGACCUCGGAUCAGGUAGGAAUACCCGCUGAACUUAAGCAUAUCAAUAAGCGGAGGAAAAGAAACCAACAGGGAUUGCCCUAGUAACGGCGAGUGAAGCGGCAACAGCUCAAAUUUGAAAUCUGGCUCUCGGGCCCGAGUUGUAAUUUGUAGAGGAUACUUUUGAUGCGGUGCCUUCCGAGUUCCCUGGAACGGGACGCCAUAGAGGGUGAGAGCCCCGUCUGGUUGGAUGCCAAAUCUCUGUAAAGUUCCUUCAACGAGUCGAGUAGUUUGGGAAUGCUGCUCUAAAUGGGAGGUAUAUGUCUUCUAAAGCUAAAUACCGGCCAGAGACCGAUAGCGCACAAGUAGAGUGAUCGAAAGAUGAAAAGCACUUUGAAAAGAGAGUUAAAAAGUACGUGAAAUUGUUGAAAGGGAAGCGUUUAUGACCAGACUUG